GCAUAAAAUGAGCCACCCCAUGGUGCUCCCAAUGUAAUGAUAGCAAAAACUUUGUAAUUGAUUAUAAUCAAGUUUUCUCUAUCAUUACCUUGGGAGCACCAUGGGGUGACUCAUUUUAUGC
rnacentral:pre_miRNA from 1 species